UCAAAUCAUUGCAGUGGAUGAUGUACAACAACAAAGCUGUUUGAAUGAAGAAGAGAUCACCAGAAAAUAAAACAUGUUCAUGGAUUUCGAAGAAUAUGCUAAAAAGGAAGAAAUCGGUUGAAGGUAAAGAUCCAGGCUAUUGUGGGAAAACAAGAAGACAUGAGUACUAAGUUCUUCCGAAGAAUAGUCAAUGCACAUAAGAGAAACAAUAACAUUGACAAGUUGAUGGUGGAAGGAGAGAUAAUUGAAGAGCAUGGUAAAAUUAAAAGAGAGAUCAUUGCCUUUUAUCAGAGAUAAUAUUCUAUAACUGAGGAAUGGAGACCUUCAUGUAGCAUGAUGAUUGAGCAGAAGAUGUUAACCAUUUAUUUCUCCAUUGCAACUUCUCCUGACAGAUUUGGCAUCUCUUUUUUAAUGUUCUGGAAUCCAAUGGUGUAUGCCUAAAGAUGGAGUAAUUUUUAUUACAGAUAAAUUAUAACAGAUGGAGUAAUUUUUUAUUAAGAGAUAAAAUUAUAAACUUGAGAAAACAAACAGUCUUAAUCGUUGUAUAAAUACAACAUCUUAGUUUUUAGAUGUGUUCUUAGAUUCAGACAUCUUAAUCUUUAAAAACUAGCCCCUGUGCGUACAUCGCUACGGAAACCAAUCCAUUAAAUCUUAAACUUGCUUUAUCAAAAUUCAUCAUUGAAUUGUGCUGUAUCCUCGGUUGGUUAAUGUCCUGCAGAUCUUUGCCUUCUGCUUUAUACAAUGUCAUGCAGCUGAGUGAUAGACUUAUAACUUAUCUAUUUGGCUCCACCUCCCUGAAAGUGAUGUCAACUUCUAGAUUUAUCGCAUAAACAGGAUACUGAAAGAUGAGAGAGUAUUGAAGUAAUUAAUAUCAAUUCAUGAACACACCAAUCGUAGUGAUUGCUCUGUGAAUUAGAGACAUCCUGGUUGAAUGAUAUAACUAUUUUAAUCACCCCAAAGCACAGAGGACAUAUGGUUCUCCCUUGAAACCCCAAGAUGCUGAGAAGUGAGAUGACUUUCCUUUAUCAAUUAACAUACAAAGCUUUGCAUUUUGACAUCGAGUUAUAGAGCUCAGUACUUAAAAGAGGAACAAGCCUAAAUUUUUUUUUUGGAGAUUUGGCAUAUAGACUAGUUAAACCGAAGAAGUUGUGGGUAUUGAAACCUAAGAAUUUGUAAGGGCAUGUCAAACUCCAAGCUGAUGAAAGCUCUACAUGUUAAGGAGGGUAUGGAAGAUUAGAGAAAAUCUGAACAUUGGGUGCAAGCCUAUGCCGUGGAAAAAGUCCAAAGAUAUGGAUCCUGAGCACGGCAGCCAAAAUAAUGGAAGCAGGAGUAGCUACUGUAUUCAAAAGUUUAAAUUUCAGCAAAACGUCUGAAGUAAUUAAUGGUUAAUGUUAUUUAACAUUUCAAGAACAAAACUAAUCAACUGAUAUGGAUUACACUAAGAGUUCCUCACACAACUCUGGAAGCUCGCGAGGAAAAUAAUUGAAAGCCCAUGAAAAUCAGGAGAAGGCGUAGUAGGCCUUAAGAUAAAUGUGCAGCACUGGGAUGCCUGCUUGAUGAGUUUUGAGGCACAACAUUCAGAAAGAAACAUUUCGCAAGGGCAGAGUCAAACAAGGUGAGACUGAACUUUGAUGGCUGGAAGGGAUCUGUCUUUAAUUGCAGGGUGAACUACGGGAGAAAGGGUGGAUUCAUUGUCUAUGAGGUUGGCUUCAUAUUUGAAUUGUGUGCCAAGCCGCGAUUCAUUUGGAAAUUUCAGCAGCAUGAUAGUAGGACUUAGGCUCCGAAGACUUUUGCAUUGUGGUAGAUGGCCAAAUUCAGGCGAAUGUGAGACCUUGCCCCGUGACUACGAAUUUUUAAAGCAAUCCUGGACUCUACAAGAUGGGCUACUGGGACUUAUCUUGUAAAAGCAUCCUAGAAAGAUGGGUUGACAGAGAGUGAAAUGUCUUUUUUUGGCACUUCGAUAUCAAUUGAACUUACAUUUCAUAUUUGCAGGAGAUUUCUCAAUUUUUUUAAAAUCAAUUACAGGUCAUCUUUUACAUCAGAAAGGUAAAGGACUUAGUGCUCUGAUAACCAUGCUAAUGUGUUGUAUUAUGGUUGCAGGCACAAUCUCCGAACUACACAAGUACUUUGAGACAAAUAUUCCCAAAUAUUGAGCAGAUUGAUUCUGAAGUCUACGCGUAGGUGCUUGGAUGUGGAUCUUAUGCAUAGUUGACGCAAGAACCCCGCGAAUAAUCCGCUUUUGUCAGUUUUAUAUUAUCUGUAAGGUCCAGCUGAUGAGAUGCUGUAAAACCUGUUAUGGCAUUAUUUCCAGCUUCUCCAUCAUUUCAGGAUGCCGAAGUCCUGAAAAGAUGAAAAUACAGGUAGCUGCUACGUCAUUACUGAUGAUGCAAUGACAUUUGCUUGUUGGUUUUUCCGUCUCUGAAGAUAUUUAUUUUGUUUGUCCUCGGACCACAAAGGAGUUCCAAUAUUGUACUUAUCUUUCUCCUCCAAAUUGGAAAUGUCGCUUUUUGGUGUGCUUUGUUGUGAACUGAAAGCACCAUACACUCGUAUAUCAACAGGGAAGCUAUAAGGGAAAAAUGUGAAAAUUGGAAUUUUACUGUCAAAUCAAAAUUUUGAAAAUUU